AAAACCAAGAAGAAUCAGCUUCUUUCUCUUCUUUCUUCUCUCUCUUUGCUUUCUCUUUGUCAGUCUCUUGUUUCUUAUCCUUUUUCUCUUUCUCUUCUCUCUUAUCCGGAAUACAACAACAACCAAAAGGAUGA
rnacentral:ribozyme from 13 species